GCCAGUGUGGUGUAGUGGUUAAGAGCAGCAGUCUCGUAAUCUGUGGAACCGGGUUCGAGUCUCCGCUCCUCCACAUGCA
rnacentral:tRNA from 1 species